rnacentral:rRNA from 1 species
UCAAGUAAUUAAGUGCAUGUGGUGGAUGCCUUGGCAGUCAGAGGCGAUGAAAGACGUGAUAGCCUGCGAAAAGCUCCGGGGAGGCGGCAAAUAUCCUUUGAUCCGGAGAUGUCUGAAUGGGGGAACCCACCUACUUUAAGGUAGGUAUUGCAACAUGAAUACAUAGUGUUGCAAGGCGAACGAGGGGAAGUGAAACAUCUCAGUACCCUUAGGAAAAGAAAUCAAUUGAGAUUCCCUCAGUAGCGGCGAGCGAACGGGGAUCAGCCCAUUAAGUUAUGUGUGUUUUAGUGGAACGCUCUGGGAAGUGCGAACGUAGAGGGUGAUAUUCCCGUACACGAAAGGGCACACAUAAUGAUGACGAGUAGGGCGAGGCACGUGAAACCUUGUCUGAAUAUGGGGGGACCAUCCUCCAAGGCUAAAUACUCCUGACUGACCGAUAGUGAACCAGUACCGUGAGGGAAAGGCGAAAAGAACCCCUGUGAGGGGAGUGAAAUAGAUCCUGAAACCGCAUGCAUACAAGCAGUGGGAGCACCUUCGUGGUGUGACUGCGUACCUUUUGUAUAAUGGGUCAGCGACUUAUAUUCAGUAGCGAGGUUAACCGUAUAGGGGAGCCGUAGAGAAAUCGAGUCUUAAUAGGGCGUUUAGUUGCUGGGUAUAGACCCGAAACCAGGCGAUCUAUCCAUGAGCAGGUUGAAGGUUGGGUAACACUAACUGGAGGACCGAACCCACUGUCGUUGAAAAGCCAGGGGAUGACUUGUGGAUAGGGGUGAAAGGCUAAUCAAGCCUGGUGAUAGCUGGUUCUCCCCGAAAGCUAUUUAGGUAGCGCCUCGGACGAAUACCAUAGGGGGUAGAGCACUGUUUCGGCUAGGGGGUCAUCCCGACUUACCAAACCGAUGCAAACUCCGAAUACCUAUGAGUACUAUCCGGGAGACAGACUGCGGGUGCUAACGUCCGUAGUCAAGAGGAAAACAAUCCAGACCGCCAGCUAAGGCCCCAAAAUCAUAGUUAAGUGGGAAACGAUGUGGGAAGGCAUAGACAGCUAGGAGGUUGGCUUAGAAGCAGCCACCCUUUAAAGAAAGCGUAAUAGCUCACUAGUCGAGUCGGCCUGCGCGGAAGAUGUAACGGGGCUAAAACUAUGUGCCGAAGCUGCGGAUGUAUACUUUGUAUACGUGGUAGGGGAGCGUUCUGUAAGCCGAUGAAGGUGUGUUGAGAAGCAUGCUGGAGGUAUCAGAAGUGCGAAUGCUGACGUGAGUAACGACAAAACGGGUGAAAAACCCGUUCGCCGAAAGACCAAGGGUUCCAGUCCAACGUUAAUCGGGGCUGGGUGAGUCGACCCCUAAGGCGAGGCCGAAAGGCGUAGUCGAUGGGAAAAUGGUUAAUAUUCCAUUACUUCUGUGUAAUGCGAUGAGAGGACGGAGAAGGCUAAAUCAGCCUGGCGUUGGUUGUCCAGGUGAAAGGAUGUAGGCAUGUAUCUUAGGCAAAUCCGGGGUACUCUAUGCUGAGAUCUGAUAGCAAGCUGUACUUGUACAGCGAAGUGGUUGAUGCCAUGCUUCCAGGAAAAGUCUCUAAGCUUCAGUUACACAGGAAUCGUACCCGAAACCGACACAGGUGGUCAGGUCGAGUAGACCAAGGCGCUUGAGAGAACUCUGCUGAAGGAACUAGGCAAAAUGGUACCGUAACUUCGGGAGAAGGUACGCUGUUGUUGGUGAUGGAACUCGCUUCCUGAGCUGACGACAGCCGCAGAAACCAGGCCGCUGCAACUGUUUAUUAAAAACAUAGCACUCUGCAAACACGAAAGUGGACGUAUAGGGUGUGAUGCCUGCCCGGUGCUGGAAGGUUAAUUGAUGGGGUUAGCGUAAGCGAAGCUCUUGAUCGAAGCCCCAGUAAACGGCGGCCGUAACUAUAACGGUCCUAAGGUAGCGAAAUUCCUUGUCGGGUAAGUUCCGACCUGCACGAAUGGCAUAAUGAUGGCGGCGCUGUCUCCAGCAGAGGCUCAGUGAAAUCGAAAUCGCUGUGAAGAUGCAGUGUACCCGCGGCUAGACGGAAAGACCCCGUGAACCUUUACUGCAGCUUGACACUGAACUUUGACCUUACUUGUGUAGGAUAGGUGGGAGGCUUUGAAGCUGGAACGCUAGUUCCAGUGGAGCCGUCCUUGAAAUACCACCCUGGUAAUGUUGAGGUUCUAACUCUGUCCCGUGAUCCGGGACGAGGACCGUGUCUGGUGGGUAGUUUGACUGGGGCGGUCUCCUCCUAAAGAGUAACGGAGGAGUACGAAGGUGCGCUCAGCGUGGUCGGAAAUCACGCGUAGAGUAUAAAGGCAAAAGCGCGCUUAACUGCGAGACCCACAAGUCGAGCAGGUACGAAAGUAGGUCUUAGUGAUCCGGUGGUUCUGUAUGGAAGGGCCAUCGCUCAACGGAUAAAAGGUACUCUGGGGAUAACAGGCUGAUACCGCCCAAGAGUUCAUAUCGACGGCGGUGUUUGGCACCUCGAUGUCGGCUCAUCUCAUCCUGGGGCUGAAGCAGGUCCCAAGGGUAUGGCUGUUCGCCAUUUAAAGAGGUACGCGAGCUGGGUUUAGAACGUCGUGAGACAGUUCGGUCCCUAUCUACCGUGGGCGCUGGAAAUUUGAGAGGAUCUGCUCCUAGUACGAGAGGACCAGAGUGGACGAACCUCUGGUGUACCGGUUGUGACGCCAGUCGCAUCGCCGGGUAGCUAUGUUCGGAAGGGAUAACCGCUGAAAGCAUCUAAGCGGGAAGCCUACCUCAAGAUAAGAUUUCCCUAGGACUUUAUGUCCUCUAAAGAGCCGUUCGAGACUAGGACGUUGAUAGGUUGGAUGUGGAAGCAUAGUGAUAUGUGAAGCUGACCAAUACUAA